GCUAGCGCAAGGAAGGAAAGUCGCAGACUACCUUGGGUGUUGACGACACUCCGCCCCCA
rfam:Culex theileri flavivirus RP-2011 gene for viral polyprotein, genomic RNA, isolate 178